GUAAUCAAACAAUUGAGCUAAGAAAAAAUAAUAAAUAAUAAAAAAACAGAUUUUCUAAUGGAUUAGAAACAUAAAAAUGAAGCUAGCUCUGGGUUCGAGUGACAUUUCACCCCUAACCUCAACUCAUCCGUUGAUUCUUCAACAUCAGUCGGUUCGGACCCCCACUUAGUUUCACCCAAACUUCAUCCUGGUCAUGAAUAGCUACAUUUAUAAAGAUUAUG
rnacentral:lncRNA from 1 species